UACAGAGGUCCCAAGCGUUGUUCGGACUCACUGGGCGUAAAGGGUGCGUAGGUGGCAAUGAAAGUUUGAUGUGAAAUCUCCGGGCUCAACCCGGAAAAUGCAUUGAAAACUCCAUGGCUGGAGGAUUGGAGGGGGGACUGGAAUUCUCGGUGUAGCAGUGAAAUGCGUAGAUAUCGAGAGGAACACCAGUGGCGAAGGCGAGUCCCUGGACAAAUCCUGACACUGAGGCACGAAAGCUAGGGGAGCAAACAGG
rnacentral:misc_RNA from 1 species